rnacentral:rRNA from 1 species
CGGUGGAUUAUGUGGAUUAAUUCGAUGCAACGCGAAAAACCUUACCUACCCUUGACAUGCCAGGAAGCUCCCAGAGAUGGGUUCCCGGCCUGAACAGGUGUGACGAGCGCAACCCUUGCCAUUAGUUGCCACAGGGAUGUCAAGUCUCAUGGCCCUUAUGGGUAGGCUUCAUACAUGGCCGGUACAAGGGCAGCCAACCCGCGAGGGGGAGCUUCCCAGAAAGCCGGUCGUAGUCCGGAUUGCAGUGCAACUCGACUGCAUGAAGCCGGAAUCGCUAGUAAUCGGGAUCAGCAUGUCGCGGUGAAUACGUUCCCGGGUCUUGUACACACCGCCGUCACACCAUGGGAGUGGGUUCCACCAGAAGUAGUUAGCCUAACCGCAAGGAGGGCGACUACCACGCGAGAUUCAUGACUGGGGUGAAGUCGUACAAGGU